ACGCAGUUUUUAGAGUACCUUAUAAAAAUAAAACGAUUGUUCCACAGGAUGACAAUGAAAUGAAAAAUCGUGUACUUAAAACCGUUGAAACAAAACGUGACGAGAAACGACAACUGAUGACGAUCAGUAGUAAUGAGAACAAAUUAAAGGAAAAUGGAAAAUAUUUUGGAGAUCGGUUUU